rnacentral:rRNA from 1 species
CGCAAGCCUGACGGAGCAACGCCGCGUGUGGGAAGAAGGCUCUUGGGCUGUCAACCACUUUUCUCAGGGAAGAAGCCCUGACGGUACCUGAGGAAUCAGCCUCGGCUAACUCCGUGCCAGCAGCCGCGGUAAUACGGAGGAGGCAAGCGUUAUCCGGAAUUAUUGGGCGUAAAGCGUCCGCAGGGGGCACAUCAAGUCUGCUGUUAAGGGCUGGAGCUUAACUCCGGUAGAGCAGUGGAAACUGGUGUGCUAGAGGGCGACAGGGGUAGAGGGAAUUCCCAGUGUAGCGGUGAAAUGCGUAGAGAUUGGGAAGAACACCGGUGGCGAAAGCGCUCUACUGGGUCGCACCUGACCCUCAGGGACGAAAGCUAAGGUAGCG